rnacentral:rRNA from 1 species
UAGAGUUUGAUCCUGGCUCAGAUUGAACGCUGGCGGCAGGCCUAACACAUGCAAGUCGAGCGGCAGCGGGAGGAAGCUUGCUUCCUCGCCGGCGAGCGGCGGACGGGUGAGUAAUGUCUGGGGAUCUGCCCGAUGGAGGGGGAUAACCACUGGAAACGGUGGCUAAUACCGCAUAACGUCGCAAGACCAAAGUGGGGGACCUUCGGGCCUCACACCAUCGGAUGAACCCAGAUGGGAUUAGCUAGUAGGUGGGGUAAUGGCUCACCUAGGCGACGAUCCCUAGCUGGUCUGAGAGGAUGACCAGCCACACUGGAACUGAGACACGGUCCAGACUCCUACGGGAGGCAGCAGUGGGGAAUAUUGCACAACGGGCGCAAGCCUGAUGCAGCCAUGCCGCGUGUGUGAAGAAGGCCUUCGGGUUGUAAAGCACUUUCAGCGAGGAGGAAGGUGGUGAGCUUAAUACGUUCAUCAAUUGACGUUACUCGCAGAAGAAGCACCGGCUAACUCCGUGCCAGCAGCCGCGAUAAUACGGAGGGUGCAAGCGUUAAUCGGAAUUACUGGGCGUAAAGCGCACGCAGGCGGUUUGUUAAGUCAGAUGUGAAAUCCCCGAGCUUAACUUGGGAACUGCAUUUGAAACUGGCAAGCUAGAGUCUCGUAGAGGGGGGGUAGAAUUCCAGGUGUAGCGGUGAAAUGCGUAGAGAUCUGGAGGAAUACCGGUGGCGAACGCGGCCCCCUGGACGAGACUGACGCUCAGUGCGAAAGCGUGGGGAGCAGACAGAUUAGAUACCCUGGUAGUCCACGCCGU